rnacentral:rRNA from 1 species
UACGAAGGGGGCUAGCGUUGCUCGGAAUCACUGGGCGUAAAGGGUGCGUAGGCGGGUUUUUAAGUCAGGGGUGAAAUCCUGGAGCUCAACUCCAGAACUGCCUUUGAUACUGGCGAUCUUGAGUCCGGGAGAGGUGAGUGGAACUGCGAGUGUAGAGGUGAAAUUCGUAGAUAUUCGCAAGGACACCAGUGGCGAAGGCGGCUCACUGGCCCGGUACUGACGCUGAGGUGCGAAAGCUAGGGGAGCGAACAGG